AAACAUAAGUAAAUAAACUUCAGACCUCUGGGAGGGGAGAGAGGCUGGAAAUUAAGUUCAAUCACCAAUGGCCAAUGAUUUAAUCAAUCAUGCCUGUGUAAUGAAGCCUUCAUAAAAACCAAAACAGCCAGGGUUUGGAGAGUUUCUGGGUUGGUGAACACAUGGUGAUACCAGGAGAGUGGUGUGCUCAGAAAGCAUAGAGGCUCUGCGCUGUUUCCCCAUACCUUGCCCUGUGCAUCGCUUCCAUUGGGCUGUUCCUGUGUUAUAUCCUUUUAUAUUAAACCCAUAAUCUAGUAAGUAAAGUGUUUCUCUGAAUCCUGUGAACUGCUCUAGCAAGUGAAUCAAACCCAAGAAGGGUUCCUUGGAACCUCCAAUCUAUAGCCAGUUGGUCAGAAGCACAGGUGACAAUCGGGGCUUGAUAUUAGCAUCUGAAAUGGGGAGCGGGCAGUGUUGUACGAGUGAGGCCUUAACAUGUGGGAUCAGAUAUGCUGUCUCCAGGUAGAUAGUGUCAGAAUUGAGUUGAAUUGUGAGACACUCAGCUGGUGUCUGAGAAUUGCGUGAUGUGGGGGAAAAAACCCAGACAUCAGAAUUGGUGACCGGAAUCAUUAGCUCUUAAUACUGGCAAAUGAAAACUUUCAUUUCUGGUGAUUCUUUACCUGAUAAGAACAAAGUAAAAUGUUGCUCACAGUGCCACUUCCCAUCAUUGCCUCAAAAUGUCCCAAGUUGCUCUUACAAGUUCUCUAUGUGGGCUGGCUGUAAAAUUUGAGAAACGAAACUGAGAACCCCUGUGACGGCUUCUUGAUUGGUCUCACAUGGUGUGGAUUGGUGGGUCUCUGUGUGCUGCUAACCACCAUCAGCUAUGUUUUCCUCAGGGUGGUUCAAAUCACAGUGUUGGUGAUGUCACUCCUGCCACCUCUCCUGAGAUUGGCGUGGUUCUGCUGUCAAAAACUUGGAAAAUACUGAAUCAUCUCCCCGAGGAAAAUUGGUGCUUCUCAGCUUCAGACUUGAGUUUCCAGCGAGAAUAAGACAGAGGCGCAUCCUACUGGGAAGCAGUGGGGCUGGGACAAGUCAAAGGCCUCCCUCAAUCCACUCACAGUUCUUCAUCUCUUCAGGGUGAUUUGCCUGUCACCAUCCACAUGGUGCCUGAGGCAAAGGGUUAGUGCUGCUGCUGGUGACAUACCCUAGAGCAGCGGCAGCAGCAAUUACCUGGGAGUCACAUUAUAUUUGCAGUUUGUUCGGAGGGAUGGAUGGAAGAGACUGCAGGUCAACAUCAAGUUUUUUGGUCAGACUUAGCAAAUACAGGAAUAAAAAUAUGACCGCAACGGUCA
rnacentral:lncRNA from 1 species